rnacentral:rRNA from 1 species
AUUGAACGCUGGCGGCAGGCCUAACACAUGCAAGUCGAACGGUAACAGGAAGAAGCUUGCUUCUUUGCUGACGAGUGGCGGACGGGUGAGUAAUGUCUGGGAAACUGCCUGAUGGAGGGGGAUAACUACUGGAAACGGUAGCUAAUACCGCAUAACGUCGCAAGACCAAAAAGGGGGACCUUCGGGCCUCUUGCCAUCGGAUGUGCCCAGAUGGGAUUAGCUAGUAGGUGGGGUAACGGCUCACCUAGGCGACGAUCCCUAGCUGGUCUGAGAGGAUGACCGGCGACACUGGAACUGGGACACGGUCCAGAGUCCUACGGGAGGGAGCAGUGGGGAAUAUUGCACAAUGGGGGCAAGCAUGAUGCAGCCAUGCCGCGUGUAUGAAGAAGGCCUUCGGGUUGUAAAGUACUUUCAGCGGGGAGGAAGGGAGUAAAGUUAAUACCUUGGCUCAUUGACGUUACCCGCAGAAGAAGCACCGGCUAACUCCGUG